AGACGGAGUGCCGGGGAGGGGAGGCGCUCAGCGUUCGGGUAACUAAGGUUGCAAAAUGGCGAGGGGGGAGGUAAGCUGUCUUUGCUUGGCCAUCUUGGGCUAGCAGGCCCUGCAGAGAACUACCUUUUUAGCUGAGUGAAGGGAUCAGUCAACCUGAGUUGGAGUUCUCCUAUGCUGUGGCCAGAUCCACUAGAAAUUAAGCCAGAAUCUUAGCCUCUCACUGGCCUAUCGGUGAUGCCACAUGCAGUCAGAAACUAUGCCACUGGUGAAGAGGUAUAUUGAGCCCUGCCUGGUUAACCUCCAGUGAGGUUAUCAGAGAAUUGGGAGAGGCUCAAACCAGCAUCCUGCACCUAGUUAUCAAACCAUUGUGAAGUCUUGAUUCCUGGAUGGCCAGAAAACUUCUCAUUGGUCAAGAGCAACAUUAAGAUCUGCCUGUUACUCAUACUGAUGCUUCCUGCCCAGCAAGUUCAUCAGAGGAAGAGGAUGAAUUACGGUUGCCAUGGAUGUCCUUGUGAGGCAGUUGGGAAGCCUUGGCUGGAUUGUGAAGGAUAUUUGAAAAGUAUUUUAGAGUCCACCAGAUCCUCCAUGUGAAUGACCAUGCAGCAAAAGAAGGAGGGUCCUGUCAGUGAUUAAGGAUUAUGAAGUAUUAAUUCUUCCACUGAUAUCUCAAAAGGUGAUUUGGACAAAGGAACAGGUAUCUCAGGAGUGGAGAGUUUAAUAGGCAAGAAGGAAGGGAGAAGACAGAAGGAAGAAGCUCCCCCUGUACCGAGGCAGAUGGAGUGGGGCUCCAAAGCCGAAAGUGGAGGUCCCUGCCUGCCAACAAUACCAGCCAGAGAACGUCAACAGUGAUCCUUAUUAUCCCUUUUACCAGUUGGCACAAGGAGAGAGAAGCCAAAAGCCCAACUGGUAAGAAAUGUUUACCCUUUUGCUGGCAUAUCAGGCUUCUGGGUUCCCUUUCCCCUAGCUCAGGUCUAUGCCAAGCAUUUUAAGAUUUGGCAAAUUAACUUUUCCUAGGUUGGAAGAACAUUAUAAAAGAGAUAGAAGCCAUUUUAAACCACAAAAGAAGGAAAAACACCAUAGAAAGGAGUUUCAAUUAGGGUUGUCAAGAGGUAAUACCUCUCUUCCUGUUGGGAAUGGUUUUUCCCCUAUUUCUUUGCCUUCCCUAUUUUUCUCUUUUCCCUUCUGGACCACUAUAGGAGACAUAUUGCUCAUCUCCAAAAUUUUCUUCUGCUUGCAGAGUUGCCUGUUUUAGCUGCAGUGAGGGUUUGACUUAGCAGCAACAUAACAUCCCUCCAUAUGAGGUCAAAUAUGUGAGUUAAAUUUUGGAAAGCUUCUGUAUGCCUAUCAGGGUCAUCAGAAAAUCAGCCUCAGUUUCCCUUUACUUGCCUAAGGUCACUGAAGGGGCCCCAAAUAAGAGGGACCAUCAGAAUGAUUUCCUUGAAAGUUACUUUUUUAAUUUUGGGGAACUAGUUUUCCUGGGCCUGCCCGAUAUAGUUGCUAAAAGAGCCGGGUUGACCUUGCAACAUUUGCAAAGGUCUAGCAAAAAGACCAUACCCUUGUGCAAAAGAAAAUAAGCCACUUUUUCUUCAAAGUUGCAAGGUCGAAGGAGUCCCAGUGCUUCAACAUACGCUCCAGGGGAGUGUUACCCAUCUAGAAAGAGAAGUGAGAAUAAAUAUCCUUUUAGUCUGCUUCCUUUCAUAAUGUGAUCCAGGUUGGAGAUGAAAACAAUAGAGGGCGUCCCCCCAACUAUUUUCUCUCCGGGGCUCUUGGAUUCCCGGCACCCGCUUAAAUGUGCCGCCCAUGACUGCAAUGUGCCCCUCCAAGCCAUGGCACCAGAGGAACUGAGUUCCUUACUCACGCUGUCCCCAAUCAAUCAGUUCUCUGCCUUUUAUUUCCCUUUGACGUCCUAGACUUGCAUGGCCUGUGUGCCUUCCAAAAAACGGAUUUCAAGAAAAACCAUGUAAUUGGGCAAGGCCCCUUUAAGGGGUGGGGUGGGGGGAGUGCAAGAUUGAACUGUGUAUUCUGCUAUUAUAGCCCAUGCUAAAGCAUUUACUCGUAGAAUAAUGGUUCUGGUUAACUUCCGGACUGAAAAAUCCCCUUACUAAUUAAGUACUGUCUUAAUAGGAGACAAAAUCAAUGCCUUAAAGGAACAUAGGAGCCAAAUGGCCGUUUUCCUGCCAGUGGGACAAGAUCGAGACUAAAAUUGGGCUACGGAAGACAUCUUACUCCUAACUGUUAAAAGCAGAAACUUCCCGUUCCCAGAAGAGGCCUAGAACCUGAUUUCUACUAGGUGGCUUAGAAAUACCAUGUGCUUGCCAGAGAAAACAGAGAGAGAGAAGCAUUUAUUGAGUUACUGCCUGCCGUGAUUCACGAUUGUUUCUAACAGACCUGUUUUCCCUGAACUGUAAAGAUUCCUGCACAUUAGACACACACAGAGAGAGGGUAAGAGACUACUAAUAGAAAGUUUGGUGACAAGGUAGCUGGAAGAGAGCCUUGAGAUUAAAGGACAGAUUUGAAGUUGAAAUCCGCUCCAUACUCAACAUGUCUGAUGAUUGAAUUUUCCUUUUCCGGCCCAGGCACCAAAAUGAUACGGCUCUGAUGAGUGGAGGAACACCAGGGUUCUUAUUCCUGAGGCCGGUUUAGAUAAAACAACACGGACACGUGUGGAGUGGUUUUAAGGAGUGGAGAGUUUAACAGGCAAGGAGGAAGAGAAAAGACAGAAGGAAGAAGAUCCCCCUACAGAGACAGAGGGAGGGGGGCACCAAAGCCAAAAGAGGAGGUUCCCCCAAGUUCCUAUUUUUAUUAGCCUGGAACUUGAUAGUAAUGACAUUAACUGAAAGUAGGACAUAAACUAUAUAUUUUAGUUUAAUAUGUAAAAGGAUCUUCUGCAUCACUAAAGAAGAAAAGUGUCUUGCUGGGAAUGAGAUUAGGAAACAAGUUUGGGAAAUACCAUUCUUCGUUUUUUUUUGGAGAAAGGUACCCUGUCCAAAAAAAAAAAAAAAAGUCUUGCUUUGCUAGGUAAAUGCAUCAUUUUGCCUAAAAACCAGUGUAACAUUUUAUUCUAAGUCAGAAGUAAUUACUGAGCUGUGGUUUUGUGUUCUGUAUGUGUAAUCUCAUUUAUUGACAGUUCUAACCUAGUAAUGAAAGUGCAACAGGAGAAUUAUAACCAGAAACAUCUAACUGUUAAUUAUACAUACAUGUACUAUUUAACUGUAAUUGUGAAAAUGCAUUUUAAAAGUUGGAAAAAAAAGAAAGGUUGCCUCUAUGGUUUGGCAACUUAAUGCCGAAAAAUAGACAGUGUCUUGCGGGUCAUAGAUCAUGGGACUCAACAUAAAGUCAUACAGCUAAGACAUGUUACAGCAACAUAAUAAGCAUAUAUAGCCUUUCUAGGGUUAGCAUAAGGGAAAAAGACAAAGUGGAGUCUGGAGGAACCAGUGUGCAGGCCUCCUUAUGCUAUCUCCCUCCCAUGAGUGGUCAUACAGAGCGCAUUCUUUUAGCAAUAAAAAUUUGGCAAGACGUGUGCCAUGUUUCUGCUCGAGAAGCCCAUUAGGGACUUGGCACCCAAAGUUUCUAUUGUAGGUUGGUCCUGUAGGCACUUUCUGCUUUGCAUGUACCAAAAUUCCAGAUUCCCGGAAGGAAAGCAGGUAUUCAACAUGACCCGCUUUUAUUUGCACAAUCUAGUAAAAGGCCAACCUUGGCAGCAGGUCUUCCUAAGGAUACUAGUCUCAGUCUGUGCACAUAAGCUGAAUGUGUAAAAUAGUUAAAUCCUGGACCCUUCUGUAACUGAUCACAUGCAAACUGCUUAAGGGCAGAAGUGGGCCAGUUUAAUGAGAGAGAGUUUAAAUACAUGAUACCUGUUGUGUUU